AAUGUCUGAUCUUCCAGCACACACGUAGAUGCCACCCUGGCUGGGAGCAGGGGCUUCCUGGUUAUUAUAUACAUGGUUAAGGAACACACAGUUUUCCACCUAUGUUUUUGCUUCCUGCAAAGAUGAGUUUUCUUUAGAUGUGGAUAUUACACUCGAAUGCAUACUCUUGUUGCAAAAUGGUAAAAUAUAGACAACAGUGCAGUAUUUUCUUCCUGUCCUUCUGAAAAUGACUAGGAAACUCUUGUUUGUCUAGGGAAAUGCUUUUUGGAAGAAAGUGAAAUGGCUAGAAAAAUGUUCAAGCAGCCCUGAGAUCAGUGUGAGAAAAUAGAUGUAAAAGGUGAAACAUAUUCUGUGAUUGGCUGUUACAGAGUUCCCAAAUUGAACCAGAUUUUAUAGGUGCAGCAUUUCUGGUUCCUUCGAGAGGGUGAGGAGAGCCUGCAGGCAUGCUGUGCACCUCUGCAAUUGCUAGUCCCAGGGUCACAGCAAGUGGAAGUGCAGAGCACCACAAACUGCUUUGAGCAGAGCCCACUUCCUUCAUCCCGGAGAGCAUGGAGCCGUUACACCAACAUCAAUCAAGGGGGACCCAGGCGCUGCACUCACACAGUUGAAGCAGGGGAGCAAAUCGAAGACUCACCCAGGAGCAGAGUGCUUUUGAGACAGAGGAAGAAGACAAAACAGCUCCCAGCUCAGCUUCUCUUGCCAUAUUCAGGAAUCACCACACGUGCUGUUAUAUUGGGCCUCAUUUUGUUUCCCUUUCCCCAACACCUGUGUGCUGUGCUUGUGGUGAGUCUUCAUAGCCAAGUACAAUUUUUCCAGUUCAACUCCACUGAUCACUAUCAACAAGAAAGUGUAAGAGCUCAGAAGUCAUCUUGGAGGCCCCAGGCGAAGACCAGUCCUGCAACCUUGGAAGGCAGCUAUGGUCACCACUAUACCACCAACGCCACACCAGUCAUGCAACCUUGGGAUGUGCAGGGUUUGGGCAGCCAAGGCUUGCUGCACUAACCCUUUGCUGCAUGUGUUUCAACAGUGCCAUUUACUUGAUGAAUGUCUCUUUUCCGGCAGAUGACAUGAGAACAGUGCUUGUAACUGUUUCUGCUCAGCAUGAUAUUCAGAACCCUUAACAUGGUUACUGACAUACAGGAGGUGUCUGUAUUUGUUGAAUAAAUGAAUAAAGGAGUAAUGUCUACUUUCUGUUGUCAUUAUUUCCUUUCAUAAUAUACCAUAUUCCAUGUCUUUUUGCCCAUCCCCAUCUCUUUCAUGCAUUGUUUCUUAAUUAUGGAUCUUGAUAUGUGACUUAUCCCUAAAGUUAUUUUGUGCUACUGAAUAACAUGUUGUAAGUACAUAAAAUAUUAUAUUAUAUUCCUCUACCUUUCAAUUACAUUCUUAUACUGCCAGGUAUUAUAUUAUCCCAAUAUAAAUACUUUUUAAGUGGCAAAUGUUUUUUGGUU
rnacentral:lncRNA from 1 species